rnacentral:rRNA from 1 species
GUCCACGCUGUAAACGAUGUCAACUAGCCGUUGGGAACCCUAGUGUUUUCGGUGGCGUAGCUAACGCGAUAAGUUGACCGCCUGGGGAGUACGGUCGCAAGAUUAAAACUCAAAUGAAUUGACGGGGGCCCGCACAAGCGGUGGAGCAUGUGGUUUAAUUCGACGCAACGCGAAGAACCUUACCAGGUCUUGACAUCCAGAGAACGGCGCAGAGAUGUGCUGGUGCCUUCGGGAACUCUGAGACAGGUGCUGCAUGGCUGUCGU